UCCUAUUAUGCAAUCAUGAAAACUCGAACUCACGCCGCCGCCCCCAUUACUGGCCUAGAGUCCAAACACGGGAUAUCUUGGUCAAGCUUUCCAAACUUCCCCACCUUACCCUCCUUAUCAUCCAUCUUCCCCGACCGAGAAAGCUCCAAAACCCACAACCCAGAAACCAUGGAGAUCUCAUCUGUAACUCUAUGUUUUUCUUCCACUUCAAGAAUGCCUCCACCUUCUCUCUCUUUCUCUUCCUCCAACUCCACCUUUCUUACCAGUUUUGCCACCUCCACUUUCUUGAACAAAACCAAGCACAAAAGUAACACUCUGGUUGCGUCCAGAACCGGGACCAGAACUGAUCCGGCCAAGAAGGGUCUUACCUGCAACGCUUUGUUUGGUCUUGGCGUGCCCGAGCUGGUGGUUAUUGCUGGAGUCGCAGCUUUGGUUUUUGGGCCCAAGAAGUUGCCUGAAGUGGGAAAGAGUAUUGGAAAGACCGUCAAGAGCUUCCAACAGGGAAUGAAUGUAAUAGCGGCUGGGAUGUUGGAGGAAUGGAAAUGCUGCCCUCCAAUGCUUGAUACGGCGCCGUUUCCUCUUCAAGCCUCUUAACAUCACUUCACUUCACAUGAUCCCAACUCCAGUUCAGAUCUUCUGUCUUCAUCUCCCUUCUAGGUUUUGCUUCUUCCGUUGGAACCCUAACAUAUUUAAAGCAGCAAAGGAGUUUGAGUCCGAGCUUAAAAAGGAACCCGAUUCCACAAUAGAGGCUCCCACCGAGAAACCUGCAUCCUUGAGUGAAGAGGAGAAACAAAAUAUCAAGGUUUCAAGCUCAAAAGAGAAUGUAUGAUGUUGUAGAAAUGUCAUUUAGAUAAUAGAUUGUAUCGUUGUUCAAUUGUUGCA